GGGGAUGUAGCUCAGUGGCAGAGCACUUGCCUCACAUGCAUGAGGCCCUGGGUUCAAUCCCCAGUAUCACAA
rnacentral:tRNA from 2 species